rnacentral:lncRNA from 1 species
GGGAGUAUAAAAAUGUUGAGAACAAGGGAGGGUGAAAACACGCUGGUGAGGAGAGAUAAAUGGAACAGCAGCAAGAAUUGCUGCUGGGGAGAGAGUGGGGAAGGAGCCCAGCAAGGAGAGGGCAGGCUGGGAAUCCUUUAUUUUGGGAAAAUGUCCAUUCCUGGUGACAGGCAGACAGGGUGAAUUCUAGUAGUUGCUUUUCAGACAAGACCGGCCACUCCCUGUCACUGCCUUGCCCUGAAGCAGUGCCCAGAAUAACACUGACUCUCCUAUUUGUUUGCCACUACGCAGCUCAUUUUCCCUUUCCUUCCAGGAGGCUGCCCAGGGCUUGGGAAGGAGCUAAUAUCAUUAGGAAUAAUCACACUGAGUGCGAAUUCCUAUUAGCUUUAUUGCAAAACAACCAGGCUGGACCCUACGUGAAUUACAUCUGGGAAGCCGAGCCCUUUCCCCAGGGAAUGCUAAUAUUUCUCUACUCCAAAAGAGAGAAGCUGGUGGAAACAAAGCAUCACAAGAAGGGUGAUGGAAAGACAACAGACUUGAUAUGGCUGUGGUGGCAAGGCCCAGCCGCUAUGACAGAGACCUAGGCAGACAGAUGCUAAGGAAUCAAAAGCCACCAGCAAGGAAGGAAGGAGCAAACACCACCUGAAGAGCCAGAUUUAACAGUGCUGUUCCUGAAGGAGCUAAGAGCAGGCUGAGAAGCCCCUCUGUACUGCACAGCACACCUCUCUUCUGGUGCUGGGCUACCUGGGGCAGCACCGACUCAAGACCUCGUGCACUCCUGCAGCCACAUGCAAUGCUUGCUGCACGUGCUAAACUGCACAAACUCAAC